CUCUCUCUCUCUCUCUCUCUCUCUCUCAAUGUAAAUAAACUUAAAAAAAUAAAAAACUUACCAUGGCAACAGUCACAUUGUGAACAUAGCUACACAAGUAAUUCAGGCACACAUGUGUUUGCACACUGUUGUAUACCCAUCAAUAGUUACAUAAUGUAGUCCUAGUUCAUCCAUACAAACAUUUAUUUCACACAUAAAUAGUUAAAAUAGUCUCACAUUUAACUCAUAUAAACCUAUUUGUGCAUACAGAGUCAUGAAUAGCUAUAGAUUAUGUGAACACUACCAUUGAAUAAUUCUAGAAUUGUCAUUUCUUUCCUUUUGAGCAAAAUAGUCAUAAUGAGUGCAAUAUUUCCCAGUUAUGCUUAAUAUAUGUAUGCCUUAAAGAAAUGAUUCUGUCUUUGUCAUGAAAUACCUUCUGCCUUAAGUUAGAAUCUUCCAGAAGUGGACCCAAGGCAGGGGUAAAUACUGUUUGGAAAUCAAACUGGAAACUUUAUGAUGCUGAUGUUAAAGAGCACAGCUUUGGGGCACCUGGGUUUGUUCUUCAGGAAUUACCCUCUUGUAAUGUAGAAAAGUAUCCCUCAACAACAACAACAACAACAACACACACACACACACACACACACACACACACACACACACACACGCCCUGUCUUCAAGUUACUAGGCUGGUAUAAGGAAUCACUGGGGCUCUGGUUGUUGGUGAGAGAAACUAGAGUCUAAGUAACCCCUUAAAUCGAGGGAAAUGUUGGUAAGCAAAUACUGUGAGGAUUAAUACCUAAGCCCAUGAAUCAGAAAAGGAGCCUUAGGUCCAAAACCUAGAGAGCCAGGAACAAGUGUGGAUGUAAAGCAUAAAACCCUGCACCAGGGCAAGCAGUUUGGAGAGAACACACAAACAAAACUAGCUUUUAGAAAUGGGCUUGCAUGUGUUGGUCUCCUGUAAGAAGGAGGAAGGCCCUGUGGCUUCCAGGAGCAAUAGCUGACCUGCUGGACACCAGCGUUGAUUUUGGGGGCUCCUUUGCAAGACUUUGGGGCUAAUGGGGCUCCAUUGCAAGACUGUGCCUUACAACCUUCUCAUCUAUUAUUAAUAACUGAUGAUAACCCCGUAAGGUUCAGUCUAAGUGGUGUCACAUUCAGAGCAAAUGUAUCCAACUGCAGAAGCUUUGAAAAUACAGACUCUUGGAGGAGUAGCUAGAGUGGUUUGAUACUGCAUGUCAUAUGGGAAGCUUCUUUGAAAGUCCCAUUGGGUUAGCUCCCCGUUUACCACAGCACAGCUUUUCUUUAUUCAGUCAGUCUGAACUCCGCUCUUUCUCUCUUGGAGGGUUAGGUGCCUCCCAAUAUGCUCUGCAAAGAAGAUUCCCGAAACAGACCCAUUUUACAAAAACACAUUUAUGGAAGAGAGAAAAGACAGGAAGAACUCAUAUGAUGAGAGACCCCCAGUAUACCAUCAAAAUGUUACAUCUGGCCUUGUCACGGACACUGUCAAGCUCUUUGCCCAGACUGUUGGCCAGGACUCCAAAGUUCUUCUUCUGCUACUACUUGUUCCUGCCAACUCAGGGGAGGAUUUCACCAUCAAGGCAGUGCAAGGCACCUUGCUCUACUAAGGGCGGAAAAAUCGCUAUGACUAUUACAGUGAUAGAAGAGAGAUGCUAUCUGUAAAUUACAGUGGGUCUUGAAUGGAGAUAGUUAUGCUACCGACUCAAUUAGAGCUCUGUCUUGACACUGUUGGCUUGCAGAAGUUUGUUCAACAGAAUCUGUCGUGGUUUUAAUUAUAGCUGCUUGAAAGGCUCUAUAAUCCUAACAAGUGGCAGAGUUGGGUCUUUUGAAUGUUUUGCUUUUCGGUUGUUUUGUUAUCAGUUAGGUGAAUGCUGGGCAAAAUAUUUUGUCGGGUUCUGUUAGUUUUACAGCUGGAAUAUUUUUGUUUCGCUUAAAAGUAGCUCACUUAAUUCUAGCAAAACUCUGACAGAGAAAAUAAAUUGCACAACUGGGAAUGAACUCCUGCCUAAUAAUAUAUAAAGAGUAGCACAAAAAUCUGAAGAUA